AUUGAUUCGUUGCCUUCUCCGCCGAAACUAUGUGUAGUAUCUGUCCUUUACAGCGCAAUAUCUGCAACCUUUCCUAAUUUUAGACCAACGAAAUUAUCUGUAUUUUUCUGCGCAGGAUGGGUGCUGUGACUCUGUCCACGACUCAGUCUCGAACUGCAAUACCUCGAGGAUUGGACCAUUAAUA
rnacentral:snRNA from 1 species